rnacentral:rRNA from 1 species
UGCCUAAUAGCUAGCCCACCUAAACAAUUUCAACAAACCCCUGUAAAUAACCCCAAAUACCCCAGUAUUUAUUAAAACAAACCAUUUUUCCCCCCUAGUAUAGGCGAUAGAAAAGGACCCACGGCGCAAUAGAGAAAGUACCGCAAGGGAACGCUGAAAGAGAAAUGAAAUAACCCAGUAAAGCCUAGAAAAGCAGAGAUCAAAGCUCGUACCUUUUGCAUCAUGAUUUAGCAAGUGUAACCCAAGCAAAGCGUACUUUAGUUUGAUGUCCCGAAACUAAGUGAGCUACUCCAAGACAGCCUAUUAAUAGGGCGUACCCGUCUCUGUGGCAAAAGAGUGGGGAGAACUUUGAGUAGAGGUGAUAAACCUACCGAACCUAGUUAUAGCUGGUUGUCCGAGAAAUGAAUAGAAGUUCAGCCUUUCAGCUUCUCUUUUCACCUUAGCCUAACCCCUAACUGAUGUAUUAAAGAAACCGAAAGAGUUAGUCAAAGGGGGUACAGCCCCUUUGAACCAAGACACAACUUUAUCAGGUGGGUAAAGAUCAUA